rnacentral:lncRNA from 1 species
CCCUGGUGGCCCCCAAUGUCCCCUCACCUCCUCGUUGAAGAGCCGCCCGGCGCUGUCCUUCUUGGCCAGGUCCAGGUACUGCACCUGCCCGGCCGAGAAGCCGACCAGCAGCGCCAGGGUCUCGGCGCCCGCCGUGAACUGGUUGAAGUCGUGGCAGGUGGGCUGGGUGCCCUUGUAGACGCGCUUGUCGAUGGGCCGGUGCAGGUCCAGGGACUGCGGGGACACCGGGCACUGUCACCUGUCACCGCCCCUGGGGUCACUGUCACCACCCCUGGGGUCAUUGUCAUCAAUCCUGGGGUCAUUGUCACCACCCCUGGGGUCAUUGUCACCAUCCCUGGGGUCAUUGUCAUCAAUCCUGGGGUCAUUGUCACCACCCCUGGGGUCAUUGUCACCACCCCUGGGGUCAUUGUCACCAUCCCUGGGGUCAUUGUCACCAUCCCUGGGGUCAUUGUCACCAUCCCAUGGUCAUUGUCACCAUCCCAUGGUCAUUGUCACCAUCCCUGGGGUCAUUGUCACCACCCCUGGGGUCACUGUCACCAUCCCAUGGUCAUUGUCAUCAAUCCUGGGGUCAUUGUCACCAUCCCUGGGGUCACUGUCAUCAAUCCUGGGUCAUUGUCAUCAAUCUCAGGGUCAUUGUCACCAUCCCUGGGUCAUUGUCACCACCCCAUGGUCAUUGUCACUCGCCUCAAGGUCAUUGUCACCACCCCUGGGGUCAUUGUCACCAUCCCUGGGGUCAUUGUCACCACCCCUGGGGUCACUGUCAUCGAUCUCAGGGUCAUUGUCACCACCCCUGGGGUCAUUGUCACCACCCCAUGGUCAUUGUCACCAUCCCAUGGUCAUUGUCAUCAAUCCUGGGUCAUUGUCACCACCCCAUGGUCAUUGUCACCACCCCAUGGUCAUUGUCACCGCCCCUGGGGUCACUGUCACCAUCCCAUGGUCACUGUCACCAUCCCUGGGGUCACUGUCACCAUCCCUGGGGUCAUUGUCAUCAAUCUCAGGGUCAUUGUCACCAUCCCUGGGGUCAUUGUCACCAUCCCAUGGUCAUUGUCACCAUCCCUGGGGUCAUUGUCACCAUCCCUGGGGUCACUGUCACCAUCCCAUGGUCAUUGUCAUCAAUCCUGGGUCAUUGUCACCACCCCUGGGGUCACUGUCACCAUCCCUGGGGUCACUGUCACCACCCCUGGGGUCAUUGUCACCACCCCUGGGGUCACUGUC